rnacentral:lncRNA from 1 species
CUGCAAGAUGAAGGCCAGCCUGGGCAACUUUGCGAGACCCCAUCUCAAAUAACAAAGGCCUGGGGAUGUGGCUCAGUGGUAAAGCACCCUUGGGUUCCACCCUCAAUUCCAAAUAACAAACACAGUAAACACGAAAUGUUGUCCCUCCCCUGUGCCAUAGCAGCAUGCCUGCUCAAUUGUACAUCAGAAUCCACCAAAUAACCAGGUUUAGGGAAAGCACUGUAUGCUAGACGUUUGCUGCUGUGACAAAAUACCUAAGAGAACAGUUUGAAGGUGGGAAGAUUUACUUUGGCCCUUGGUUCCAGGGGUUUCAGUCCCUGAUUGGCUGGUCCACUGCUGUUGGGCGGAACAUCAUGGCAGAGAGGGUGUGGUAGAGAGAACGGGUCACCUCCUGACAACCAGAGAGGAGGGAGGAGGCGGCCAGCAGGGGACAGGAUAUAGCCCCGAGGCUCUAUUACCACCAAGACUUGCUCCCUUCAGCUGGGUCCCACCUCCCACCGUUCUGCUCCUCCUUGAGUCCAUUCAGCUGAGAACCCGGCUGAGGAUUCAUCCUCAGGACCAGUCACCUCCGGCCAGUGCUGCACUGGGGACCCAGCCUUCAGCACAAGAGCCUUUGGGGACCUCUGAGAACCAAACCCUAGCACCCUGAUUCCUUUUCCCACCAUGAUAUAUUUGCAAUUGGAAGCCCCUUGCCAAGUGACAUCUGCCCUUACGUCUGGGUGUCGGAGCUGGUGGGUAUUCUCUGGAUGAACAGGGUGUCAGGCUCAGUCGCUUGAAGUGCAGAUUCAACUGACCUCAGCUUCGUCCUGUUUCCUUCGCUUUCAGGCUUCCAAAAGCUGAUUCAUAGAGUUAUUUUUAAGAGUCUCGCUAAUUAGCAGGACGGCCUCUAUGAAUGCCACCCAACAAAGGGAGAGAGCCCAGCCGCUGGGCUCCUCCUUACAAAGCACGUCAGGGUUUUCUUUGACUUCUAGUACCUUCUUUUCAGUGAGGAGUGACGCAUUCCGGGUCGGAGGCAUGAUGAUUUACUGUUUGUUUCAUUUCUUCCUAAAAUGCCCUGCUCCCUUUUGUGCUCUCGGGGAUCUCAAAGGUCUUUUCAGAACGUCGCUGGCACCACCUUUCUCCUCCUGUUAACAAAAGCCUCCUCCCCUGCUUGCUUUUGCUGCCCCCCCCUUCAAUAGAACCGGUCAAACGGAAGCCACCAAGAGGGAAUAAUUUAUUUAUAGGAGACACACCUCGGGAUGGAUUACCACCAAAUCCCACGCACUCGUAAGACAGAAGCUCUGAAAUGAACCUGAUCCAAUAAAACAAAGUGAACCCAUCAAACAGGAUGCCUACCUGUGGGAGCAGGCCGACCUUCUCAAGGAAGGACUAGGAAACCCAUGUCUGAGUGGCCUGUGGCCUUGGACAGGGUCAAGUGCGGGGUCCAGGCAAGCAUUUUGUUGCCAUGGUAGAUAAUUUUUUCAAUGGAGAAUACGUUUGAGAAUAUUUUUUCUUUCUUUCUUUUUUUUCUUUUUUUAUAAGGGAGCAUCUCUUAAAUCGGUGUGAAAUCCUCCACAGCAGGAACAGCUCUAGGGAAAACAGUCUGAGUGGAUGUGACAUCAAGGCAGUAUUGUCACUGGUCACUGUAGGCUGGAUAACCAGGGACAGGAGCAGAGGGCAAGGUGAAGCAGGUAAUGGGUCCAUCCAGGGGAGCCAGGCGUCCUUGCCCUGACAUCCGGUUGUGUAGGGAAGGGACAGAAGGGGAGCAAGAAGAAUGCGGAGUGACGUAGUCCUGGUCAAAGGGUGCUCGGUGGGUGACCGUGUCAGGAGCCCACGGAGCCCUGUGAGCCACACGAAAGUCGCUACUGCCGGGGGAGGUUUGCAUUCCCUGAUGGCGUUUCUGUCCAUCAGGCCCAAGAUCCUGGAGUCCGAGGUGCCUGCUGGAAGCCAGGCUCAGAGGAGCCAGUGUUCUUGAUUGUUUCUUCUGUUGUGAAGAAGCUUUUGAGUUGGAUGUCAUUCGUUUAUCGACUCUCGAUUUUACUUCUUGUACUUUAAGACUCUGGUUGAGGAAGUCUGUUUCUGUGCCGAUAUGAUAAGGAGUUGGGCCUAGUGUUUCUUCUAGUGAGCAGGGCCUCUGGUCUAAUGCCGAGGUCCUGGACCCACUCUGAGCUGAGUUCUGUGCAGUGUGAGAUAUUGGCAUUCGAUUUCAAUCUGUUACAUAUGGACUCUCAGUUUUCCCGACAUUUGUUGAAGAGACUGUCUUUUCUUCAGUGUAUGUUUAUGGCACCUUUGUCCAGUGUGAGAUAACUGUAUUUAUGCAGGUGUGUCUCUGUGUCUUCUAUUCUGUUCCAUUGAUCUUCAAGUGUAUUUUGGUGCCAGUUUUUCUGUAGCAUAAUUUAAGGUCUGGCAUUGUGACGCCUCCUGUGUUACUUGACGCCCAAACCAGGUAACUGAAGGUAAGCCCCCUCGGCAUUUGCCCCCUUGUUUUCUGAGUGGAUAGGCCAUUACCCGUGGGUUUUGCGAGCCCCCUGUUGGCAGAACAGGUAAGAGUGGGUAAUUAAGUAAAGGAAAAAUGGGAAAUACAGAAUCUAAGGAACGAGG